UACGUAGGGGGCAAGCGUUGUCCGGAAUCAUUGGGCGUAAAGAGCGUGUAGGCGGCUCGAUAAGUCUGCUGUGAAAGUCCAGGGCUCAACCCUGGAAGGCCGGUGGAAACUGUCGGGCUAGAGUCCGGAAGAGGCGAGUGGAAUUCCCGGUGUAGCGGCGAAAUGCGCAGAUAUCAGGAAGAACACCCGUGGCGAAGGCGGCUCUCUGGGACGGUACUGACGCUGAGACGCGAAAGCGUGGGGAGCGAACAGG
rnacentral:rRNA from 1 species